GACCGCCAGUGAAAAUCGAUUUUCAUUGGCGGUCGGCGUAAUAAAACCGCCAGUGAAAAUCCAUUUUCACUGGCGGUC
rnacentral:pre_miRNA from 7 species